GACGAACGCUGGCGGCGUGCCUAAUACAUGCAAGUAGAACGCUGAAGAGAGGAGCUUGCUCUUCUUGGAUGAGUUGCGCACGGGUGAGUAACGCGUAGGUAACCUGCCUUGUAGCGGGGGAUAACUAUUGGAAACGAUAGCUAAUACCGCAUAACAAUGGAUGACACAUGUCAUUUAUUUGAAAGGGGCAAUUGCUCCACUACAAGAUGGACCUGCGUUGUAUUAGCUAGUAGGUGAGGUAAUGGCUCACCUAGGCGACGAUACAUAGCCGACCUGAGAGGGUGAUCGGCCACACUGGGACUGAGACACGGCCCAGACUCCUACGGGAGGCAGCAGUAGGGAAUCUUCGGCAAUGGGGGCAACCCUGACCGAGCAACGCCGCGUGAGUGAAGAAGGGUGUCGGAUCGUAAAGCUCUGUUGUAGGUCAAGAACGGGUGUGAGAGUGGAAAGUUCACACUGUGACGGUAGCUUACCAGAAAGGGACGGCUAACUACGUG
rnacentral:rRNA from 1 species